CUCUCGCUACCAAAAUCUCCCUUCCUGUUUCUAAGGAGCGACAGUUCGCCGCUCCAAAAACGUUAAGGCGGGCGGCGACGCGAAAAGCCAUUCCAUCUUUGUCGCCAUCUCUCUUUCUAGCGGGGUGUUGGUGUUAGGUUAUAGCAUAAACGGCCUUGCCUGAGAGAGGGAGGGGCUUUCUAUGGCAAUGGAGGAACCAGGGCAGCUUCAACGGGCGCUAAUUGAUGCCACAGCUGGAGCAUUCGCUGGUGCUAUAUCGCGUACAGUUACCUCGCCGCUUGAUGUUAUUAAGAUCAGAUUCCAGGUUCAACUAGAGCCCACAUUUACACGGGCUUUGGUUCGUGGAAAUAUUGGUGAAUCAUCAAAGUACACUGGAAUGUUGCAAGCAACAAAGGAUAUAUUUAGAGAGGAAGGUUUGCCGGGUUUCUGGCGUGGCAACGUCCCUGCUUUACUUAUGGUUAUGCCAUACACUGCCAUACAAUU
rnacentral:misc_RNA from 1 species